rnacentral:rRNA from 1 species
UACAGAGGUCUCAAGCGUUGUUCGGAUUCAUUGGGCGUAAAGGGUGCGUAGGCGGCGCGGUAAGUCGGGUGUGAAAUUUCGAGGCUUAACUUCGAAACUGCAUUCGAUACUGCCGUGCUAGAGGACUGGAGAGGAGACUGGAAUUUACGGUGUAGCGGUGAAAUGCGUAGAUAUCGUAAGGAAGACCAGUGGCGAAGGUGGGUCUCUGGACAGUUCCUGACGCUGAGGCACGAAGGCCAGGGGAGCAAACGGG